AUUGGACGCUGGCGGCAGGCCUAACACAUGCAAGUCGAACGGUAACAGGAAGCAGCUUGCUGCUUCGCUGACGAGUGGCGGACGGGUGAGUAAUGUCUGGGAAACUGCCUGAUGGAGGGGGAUAACUACUGGAAACGGUAGCUAAUACCGCAUAACGUCGCAAGACCAAAGAGGGGGACCUUAGGGCCUCUUGCCAUCGGAUGUGCCCAGAUGGGAUUAGCUAGUAGGUGGGGUAACGGCUCACCUAGGCGACGAUCCCUAGCUGGUCUGAGAGGAUGACCAGCCACACUGGAACUGAGACACGGUCCAGACUCCUACGGGAGGCAGCAGUGGGGAAUAUUGCACAAUGGGCGCAAGCCUGAUGCAGCCAUGCCGCGUGUAUGAAGAAGGCCUUCGGGUUGUAAAGUACUUUCAGCGGGGAGGAAGGGAGUAAAGUUAAUACCUUUGCUCAUUGACGUUACCCGCAGAAGAAGCACCGGCUAACUCCGUG
rnacentral:rRNA from 1 species